CACAUUCACAUUUUCUAUUCUAAUUACUUCUAAUCAAACUCAAUCAACAUAAUAUCAAUUUAAAAUUUAACAAGGUAAUAAAUAAAUCAAAAUAGAUAAACUUCUUUCAUAAUAAUUCAUAAAUUUUUAAUACUAACAUUUUUUUAACCAUUUAUAUUAAAACAUAACAACCUUUAUACACAUCCUAUGUACAUGCCACAUUACCCAAAGGAAAAUAUACAUCACCAAAGUUAUGCUGAAGUCGGGAUUAAUCAGGAUGCUGAACCGAGACCUUUGACUUCUAUCGACCUGCGCACGGAAACAACCGUACGCUGAGUAUUUCAUACUCAGUGGUAUUACCAUAAUUCAAAUUAUAACAAUAAUAAACAUGUAAUGCAUAAUUCGUAUAUACAAUUUAAAUUCAAUAUUUCAACAAUAGCAAUUCAUCAACCAAUAUCGUAUAUCCACAAUUUGAGUUUGAAUAAAUCAUGAACCUUAGGUUCAUUUCUCAAUCUCAUUUCACAUUUCAAUUCACAAUUCAACUUUUUCAUAUCAUUUCAAUAGCUCGUUUGACCAACUCGUUCGGUUUAUCAUUUCAUCAUUUACCCUAUUAACAAAACUCGGACUUUGGCGGAUACACGGAUCCAACCAAACACACCAGAAUGGCACCCAGUGCCUCAUCGGAUAGUUCGAAGCAAUAGUUGACACCCAGUGUCUCAUCGGCAAAGCCGAAGAAAGUUGGUACCCAGUACCUCAUCGAAACUAUCCGAAGAAAUAUUGGGACACCCAGUGUCUCAUCGACUCGAGGUCGAAGUAUCCCUGAACUCUUCCAAUCCUAUGGCAUGCCAACUAUAUCCGACUCAGCCCGACUAGUUAAUAGGGUAUUUAAAUCACAUAUAAUCUCAAUUCAAUCACAAUUUCUCACAUUUUCAAUUCAAUCAUUUUUCCACCUUUCAAUCAAUAAUUAAUCCACAAAUUCACACAUUUUCACAACUCAAUACAUUUCCAUAUAAUUUAAUACCAUUCACAAUUCGAUUCAAAUUCAUUUUCUGCUUUCAAUCAACAAACAAUUCAAAUAUUAUUCAUAUCGACUAUUCAAUUUAAUUCCCACUAAUAAUAAUACUAAUAUUAAUACUUACCUCACAUUUUAUUUACUAGACACAUAAAUUAAAAUUUAACAUUUAAUAAUAAAUAACUUGAAUUAUAGUAAUACAAACCGUAAAUCUCCCGCUUUAGUCCUCGAUAGCUUUCCCUUUUCCUUUUGAUGCUGAUGCCUCGGGUUCUUUAUUAGCUACGAAAAUAAUAAUAAUUUAUACUAUUAAUUACAGCACUAAUUAUAAUAAAUAAUUGAAUUUCUUUUCAAUUUCUUCCUAAUUCUCAAUUUAAUCCUAACCAAAUUCACUUACUUCCCUAAUUCAAUUCACACUCUAUUUCUAUUCAAAUUUCAUCCAAACUAAAAUUUAACUAUCAAAAUUUCAGCAUAUUUUGCUAAUUUCGAAUUUCUCUAAAUUUAGUCCUUAAAACAUAAAACUUAUAGUUUCUUUUACAAUUUAAUCCCUUUUUCAAUUCUAACUUAAAAUUCCUUCAAUUUAAUCCCUAAUUCAUCUCUUUUGUUCAACAUAAACUAUUCUUGAAAACCUAUGAACUUACAAAAUAUCAACUUGAUUCCAUCAAAACUUUGUUGUAAAGCUUUUAAAACAUUAGAAUUAAGAGAAAAGGGCUAAUUUGACUUACCAAAUUAACUCCAAGCUUUAAAAAAAUCUAUUUUCCCCUUUUUCUUUCUUUUUUCUUCUUUCUUCCCCUGUUUCGUUUGCUUCUCUGUUUCUUUGUUCUUUCUAUUCUGUUUCUUUUGUUUUGUUUUUAUUU
rnacentral:lncRNA from 1 species